CCAGCCCAGAGGAAAUGAUCAGAGCUGCUGAUGCUCUGCCAAGGACUUUGUGAGAGAUCAGCAAAGGAAUUCUGCAAAGCAAAAACAUUGCUUAAACGGCACAAAAUCCAGUCAGAGACAUUCAGGACUAAGAAGAUGAGCCAUCUUGGGAAAGGAGUAUCACCAUCUAACAAGUAGAGAUUGUAGAAGAAAAAUAUGGCAGGUGUGAGCAGAAAUCAUUUUGCAGAUUAUAUAUGAUGGAAUGCCAGUGCUGACUGCCUCGUGAGGGAAUGAAGUCUUUGCUUUCACUAGAGGCAGGGGACUUUGAGAACAACACAGGGGAAGAGAAGGAUCUGCUCUGGACACUGGAGGAUUCUGACUCAGGCCAUGCAGCAAUAAGAAGGAACUGGAGAAGCAGUCAGUCCACCCUGCCACUUACACUGUCGGUGCAGCACAGAAAGAAUGCAGGGGCAGAGAUGCAGACAAAUGGACCCCACUUGCAAGAAUUCUCCAGUCUCAGGUGCAUGGAGUGCAUGGUUACCCACAGGGGAAUACACACAGAGACCCGCACCCAAAGAAGAAACAAAAUAUUUCUAUAGAUCUGUACUGUGAAUUGAAGCUCUCAUUGUUAUUGACAUACAAGAUUCUGAGGCAUAUCAGCAACAGGAAAUAGAGCGGCUCUGUAAUGCAGAUCAGACACAGAAGACAAUUUUGAGAACCAGGAAUGGGAGCAAAAGCUCAAAUGAGUUCUCAGAAAAUAAGGGGAUGAAGAGGUUGGAGGUGGCUGCAUUUCAGCUGCUAUCCUGGAACAUAAACCUAGAAAGGUACUUUUUGGUUACUAAAUUUUCAACCCAUCCUCAAUUCACAUGGAUUUAGAAGUUCAGCAAAAAAAUUUUUUCCCCAUUUUGACAUCUUAAUUUAGAUGCAGAUAGAUAAGACAUAGAGAUGCUGAUAAGAUCAAAAAGGGAAAUCACUUGUCAAUUGUUCCUGACAUGAGCAGUCAAAUCCAUGUUUGUGGUACAGUUAGAUAUGAAUUUUUUUUAAGCAAAGUGGGAAAGAGUUGGUGUCUGCUCUCCUUUUAUACUGGGGCUUUCAGCAUGCCCAUCUUUAGAGGUACCAGUAUCUAUUCUAACUAUUGACAAAAACAAACAUAAAAUUAACUAGAUUUAAAAAAUAGCUAUUUUUACAUUUUAUAUCAGAUCUGGAACCAAAAACCAUAAGGGCCAGUUUAGAUCUGAGGAUCUGAAUCUAAUGAACACACCAAUCCUGAAACUGGGGAGGGAAUGGAUUAGUGGUCCUAGUUUGAGUCUACCUAUAGUUAGAACAUUUGGUCCAUUUUCUUAGUUCCCUGAGGUUUGUGUAUUUCAUGUAUUUUACUGUAUGCUGCAUUGAUGACUCUUAAAGCCACUGCUAUUUUGGAUUCUGAAGAUGUUUAAAAUAGUUUCACUGUUCCUUAAGAGUAAGGUAGUCAGAUAUAGCCUGGUCUGCCAUCAUCACAGUAUAUAGGCCUGAGCCGAGCACUUACAAAUUAAUUGCUGAAAACCAGGUCCUUUCACUUAUAUGUUAGUAGGGUUAAGAUGGGUAUUGGAUUUAUAACAAUGUGUUUAGACUUUAUGAAAUGGUUGUAAAUUGCUGCAUGCAUUAAUCUCAAAUUAUAUUUUUAUCACCUGCUGUAAGGUAAUAUUUAAGUUUUUGCUUUCUAACUGUAAAAAAAUGUGAACCCAGUGAACUCAAACUGUGAACCCAGUCAGGAGGGAUUCUCCUGCUCAUCAAGAAGGCCUAUCAAAAUUAAAUGGGCGAUUGUGGGACAUUGCAAUACAAAGACUUUGUUAAUUGCCCCUUAUACUCAUGCAGAGGCUAUAUGCAAAAGGAUUCAUCCCAUCACCUUGAAUUGUGGAAGAAGGAAAUAAAAAUAGCUGGCAAUCUUUUGUUGUUUGGACUCU